rnacentral:rRNA from 1 species
CUACGAAGGGGGCUAGCGUUGUUCGGAUUUACUGGGCGUAAAGCGCACGUAGGCGGAUUGAUUAGUUAGGGGUGAAACCCCGAGGCUCAACCUCGGAACUGCCUUUAAUACUGUCAAUCUCGAGACCGGAAGAGGUGAGUGGAACUCCUAGUGUAGAGGUGGAAUUCGUAGAUAUUAGGAAGAAAACCAGUGGCGAAGGCGGCUCACUGGUCCGGUACUGACGCUGAGGUGCGAAAGCGUGGGGAGCGAACAGGAUUAGAAACCCUAGUAGUCC